AACGUAGGUUCCGAGCGUUAUCCGGAUUUACUGGGCGUAAAGCGCGUUCAGGCGGUUUGGCAAGUCGGGCAUGAAAUCCUUCGGCUCAACCGGGGGAGGUUGUCCGAUACUGCUAAACUGGAGGGCAGUAGAGGGUGGUGGAAUUCCGGGUGUAGUGGUAAAAUGCGUAGAGAUCCGGAGGAACACCAGUGGCGAAAGCGGCCACCUGGACUGUACCUGACGCUGAAACGCGAAAGCUAGGGGAGCGAACGGG
rnacentral:rRNA from 1 species